GUAUAGGGUGUGACGCCUGCCCGGUGCUCGAAGGUUAAUUGAUGGGGUUAGCAUUAGCGAAGCUCUUGAUCGAAGCCCGAGUAAACGGCGGCCGUAACUAUAACGGUCCUAAGGUAGCGAAAUUCCUUGUCGGUUAAAUACCGACCUGCAUGAAUGGCGUAACGAGAUGGGAGCUGUCUCAAAGAGGGAUCCAGUGAAAUUGUAGUGGAGGUGAAAAUUCCUCCUACCCGCGGCAAGACGGAAAGACCCCGUGGACCUUUACUACAGCUUGACACUGCUACUUGGAUAAGAAUGUGCAGGAUAGGUGGGAGGCUUUGAGUAUAUGACGCCAGUUGUAUAUGAGCCAUUGUUGAGAUACCACUCUUUCUUAUUUGGGUAGCUAACCAGCUUGAGUUAUCCUCAAGUGGGACAAUGUCUGGUGGGUAGUUUGACUGGGGCGGUCGCCUCCCAAAUAAUAACGGAGGCUUACAAAGGUUGGCUCAGAACGGUUGGAAAUCGUUCGUAGAGUAUAAAGGUAUAAGCCAGCUUAACUGCAAGACAUACAAGUCAAGCAGAGACGAAAGUCGGUCUUAGUGAUCCGGUGGUUCUGUGUGGAAGGGCCAUCGCUCAAAGGAUAAAAGGUACCCCGGGGAUAACAGGCUGAUCUCCCCCAAGAGCUCACAUCGACGGGGAGGUUUGGCACCUCGAUGUCGGCUCAUCGCAUCCUGGGGCUGGAGCAGGUCCCAAGGGUAUGGCUGUUCGCCAUUUAAAGCGGUACGCGAGCUGGGUUCAGAACGUCGUGAGACAGUUCGGUCCCUAUCUGCCGUGGGCGUAAGAAGAUUGAAGAGAUUUGACCCUAGUACGAGAGGACCGGGUUGAACAAACCACUGGUGUAGCUGUUGUUCUGCCAAGAGCAUCGCAGCGUAGCUAAGUUUGGAAAGGAUAAACGCUGAAAGCAUCUAAGCGUGAAGCCAACUCUAAGAUGAAUCUUCUCUAAGCUCUCUAGAAGACUACUAGUUUGAUAGGCUGGGUGUGUAAUGGAUGAAAGUCCUUUAGCUGACCAGUACUAAUAGAGCAUUUGGCUUAUCUUUAAUAAAGCAU
rnacentral:rRNA from 1 species